UACGUAGGGUCCGAGCGUUGUCCGGAAUUAUUGGGCGUAAAGGGCUCGUAGGCGGUUUGUCGCGUCGGGAGUGAAAACACGGGGCUUAACCCCGUGCCUGCUUCCGAUACGGGCAGACUAGAGGUAUGCAGGGGAGAACGGAAUUCCUGGUGUAGCGGCGAAAUGCGCAGAUAUCAGGAGGAACACCGGUGGCGAAGGCGGUUCUCUGGGCAUUACCUGACGCUGAGGAGCGAAAGUGUGGGGAGCGAACAGG
rnacentral:rRNA from 1 species